UCCUGUUCCAUGGCACUGCUUUCCAGCAUCUCAUUCUCCAGAGUAUAUGAACACCCCGUGUUGCCCUGUCCCAGGUGCAGAAUCCAUGUGCUCAUGGUAGAGGACAUGCAGAGAUCCACUUGUCUAAUUCUGUCCCCGUUGCCACACAUAACAACCCUCCUGCAGUUUUAGGGACAUUUGGGCUAUGCUGCCUCCCUGAGAAGCAUUUCAUGGCUUUUGCAGGUGCUGUGUCAUGUCCUGGGGCAAAGGCUCUCCGAGCAUGUUUGGUUUGGCUCCCUGCUUGCCCAAGGAUGAGUCUGCAUAAUGCUGGUCAGCCUCUGGUCCAGACCAGAGGAAUCUCAUGGACUCUGCUUACCACCUGCCCCAAAAUGUGGGUGUUUUCAGCCUGGGUUGUUUGGGAUCGUAUGGCAGAUGGCCUGUCAUCCAGGCCUGUGAUCCUGCUGUGUCCCCAGGCCAGCUGAGGGCACAGCUAGAGGAAGAGAACAUGAUGCUAAGGUGAGCUGAGGGUCUCUGAUAUCUUGCCUAGCACAUUCCUGGUACAGACUUGGAGCUGAGGGAGCUGGGGUUGUUUAGUCUGGGGAAAAGGAGGCUCAGGGGCGUCAUUAUUAUAGCUCUCUACAACUGCCUGAAAGGAGUUUGUGGCCAGGUAGGGGUAGGCCUCAAGUUGUCCCAUGGGAGGUUGGAUUGUACAUUAGGAAAAAAGUCUUCAGGAAAGGGUUGUCAGGCAUUGGGACAGGUUGCCCAGGGAGAUUGUUGAGUCACCAUCCCUGAAGGUAUUUAAAAGAUGUGCAGACGCGGUACUUGGGGACAUGGUUUAAAGAUAGACUUGGCAGUGCCAGAUUACUGGUUGGACUCAAUGAUCUUAAAGGUCUUUUACAACCUAAGUGAUUCUAUGAACACAUCAUCUGCUCUGUUUUGCUCUAUUUGAGCUCAUACGAGCUUUAUUUUAGGUGACAUCCUCCAUCUGCUGCAGUUCUCCCCACAGAGUGAGUGUGAGGAACAGGGUAGGAAAGCUGAAAUAUGAUUGUGACAAGGGAACCAUCCUGUGGAGAAGAAAAUCCCAACCCUUCUUCCUUGGGUUUGUGUCCUCAGCUGUAAAGCCUGAGCAGAUGCGGUGCUUGGAGCAGGCUGGGGAAGAAAGACAGGGAGAAUAAGGGUCGGGAAUCUAGUGUAUGAGCACUGGAGGAGGGAAGGGACCAUGAAGUCAGAUGGCAGGAGUGCCAAAGGAUGGGGAACCUAAUGGCUGUGCACAGCACAUUGCAGGGAGGGAGGAUGCCGGGCAGAGCAAGGAGUCUGAGGUGUUCGUGCUGGUCCGGAGCAGAUCCCCUUGGCCCCGGGGGAUGUCUCUUAUCUCACACAUCUGUAGCAGGAUUUAGGGAAUGGCUGAAUCAGUCACACCAUCAAGAAGCAAUGGCAAGAAAUCAGCUUCUUUUCAGCGGGGAAGUCAGUCAGCUUCUAACAGGUACUAACCAAGAUACGUGAAAGAAAAUGUUGCUGUGGUUUUGGUUGUUCGGGAUUUUUGGUCUGGGAAUUAAGUUAAAAAAUAAGUUAGUAAUGUUCCUUUUUUUUCUGAACAUUUUUUUUCCUUUCCUGUGAAAACAUGAUAUUGCCUCAGGCCACUCUAAAGCAGGUGAGGAAAUAGCAUGCAAGGCAGAAAACUUCAGAAAUGUUGCUAUUGGCUAUGCACAGAGCAAACAUUCUUCACAUUGGACUUUGUGCUAUGCAAUGCCAGUUUGAGAUUUUAGCAGAGUCCUCUGGGAAUUUCAAUCCAGUUUUGGAAAUAUAUAGAUGGUGGGUGACUCAAGGCCAAGGGGCUUCCUGUUGUGUUGUAUUUUUGAUGUCUUGACUAUGAGAGGGAGGAUUUUGAAGAGUCCUCUAAGAGAACUAGAGCUAGAAAGAGAGUGGGCUGCCUUUCAGAUGUGUUGUUAUAAUUUUCCACUGUAGGAGGUGAAAGGUAAACCUGCUAAGAGGUAGAUAUAUGCAACGGAGAAAAAUUAAAUCUGAAGAUAAACAUUUCCAGAGCAAAGUCCACACUGCAGCUGAUAAAUUUUAAUAAUCUGUAAACUGAAAGGGAACAAAACCUCAGAAAAAUGAGGCAGUUCAUUCCCUCAAGAAAAAAACAACACAGAACUACUUCACUACUUCUGCAUGUAAAACCUGCAGAGGAUUGUAAAUCCCUCUGACUCUGAUUGAAACUAUUUCUUUAAGCUACGAGGAUGUACUCAGAAUUAAGUAUCAAUCAAGGAAAGACUUCACAUAGCGCUGUGAAUACUCAUAUCCCUCUGAAGAACUGCUGAGUGAAUGGGCCACGUAUCAUUUUCUAACAAAGGCUGUUUCAUUUUUCCAUCCCACCAUUCUGCUAUAAGGAGUGGUAUUUACCUCAUCUCCAAGGUGAGUUGCUUCUCUUUGUGCAGCACAGUUGAAGUCAAAAGAUCUUAUGUUUAUGAGCAUUACACAGAAGUUAUUUGAAUGUAUAUUAAAAUGAAGAUAAAUAUGUUUAAAUGUACUUCCAGAGUAGCUCUGUGAUUGCAGAAAUUAUUCCCUGCACGAGAAACUUUGGAAACGGGAAGAUUACUUUUUUCUCUAGACUUGUUGCAAACUGAAUAUGGUUUGCUUGAGGCACCAUAUCUAGAGGUCUCUUGGCAUGGUCCAGUGGCAGUGGGAUGCAGAGAGACUGUGAUUUAAGAAUGACACUAAUUAUUUAUGUGUUCUCAGCUGGUCCCAACAAGUUUUGUGGCCCUGACUGCAUUGGUGGUUCAACUCUCUUGCAACAAGACCAGACACAUGUCUAAAAAAUAAAAGGCCUUUCUACUUUCCAGAGUAAGGGGAAAAAUUUUGAUGAAGUUGGCAAGAGUUGUCUGGAAACUUCCUGCAGUUUUUGGAGAAGUCCCUCAGUUAUGUAUGGUGAACUGUCACGUGUAAGGACUCGGUCAAGCCCAGCACCAUGAUUGAUGGUGUGAGCAAAGCCUUGUUGGCGCCGUCUCGAAGGCAGGUGCCUAUUCAUGAAAGGAGAAGACAAGGAUGAAGGUGUCUUGCAGGACUUACUACUCCCCUAUCAGCGCUGGGCAGUCAGAGACCACUGUCACCAUCCUCAGCACCUCUGAGGGAAAAGAUGCACAUGCCUUCAAGAAAGCAGGAAAAGCUGCAAAAUUCGGGAACAGAGCCCCACCUCGUGGAAACGACCUCAGGCCCUGCUUACCAGAGGCUUUUGUGGGAUGUCUUGUGAGCCCCAGCAUGACCUCAUGCCUCACAUCAGGCCUGCUGCUAUAUUAGUUAGUCUAAUAAGAGGUUUUAUCUCAGUGUCAGUCACAGUCACAGUGCACACAGCACAGGUAUGGGGUGAUGCCUGGGUCUUCCUAUCCCAUAGCUCAAGAUAUUCUGUGCAGCCCACAUGAAUGGUAAUGAUAUUUGUGUUACUAUUGAAAAGAAAACAGUUUUUAUUCUUGACACUGGGUUUCUGAUUUAGAGAGAGUGGGAGACCUGGUUGAAGGUCAGGCUGAACAUUUUCCAUUGAAGCAAAGAAAUUAAAUGGCCUUUUAAGUGUUCCCAAGCCAUGUAAAAGCACCAGACAGAGGAACCCCGAGGACCAAGGGGUUGCCUACAGCCAGGUCAGCUGCCAGAAGAGCACUGGCUGCAGGAGCUGCUCAGAAAGAAAGGAUGGUAUGGCCCAGGAAAGGCUGCAAGUCAGCAGCUCCUUGAACCCUGUUUUUGCUGGGUUUCAGGAUAUAGAAAUAGCCCUCUCCUUAUUUUUCCACCUGUACCCAGGGAAGGUGGUGUCUAUCCACAUUUUUCAUACAUAAAGUGGGAUAGUAACAUCAGUUCAUUUUCCUCCACCUUCUGGAAGCCCCCCAGGAAAAUCCUGUGGCACUGAACCACAGGGUACCAUAGUUUGAACACAUAUCUCAGUGCUUGGCUAAAUUAAUAUUUUUCCUAAAAAUAUUUUUUUAUUCUAUGUUUCUGUGCCCAAAUUCCUGUAAACCACAAUGGUGACUUUAAAAGCCCGUGACUUGGCACACCAGAGCACAGAGAUCCUCAGCACACAAAAAGUCAGAGCCACUGGUCUAUCUGGUGAUGUUCUCCAGGCUGGGAGUUCCCAAUGUUUUGCUCAGGAAUCAUUAUUAGUUGGUAAGAUGUGAGAGUUGGUUAGACAGCCAUGUUCCCUACCAGCACCAGACACUGGUGUGAGGCAGGAGUGGUCAGCCAAAGCAGUUGCCUUCUACCAGAGCAGAGAAGCAGCAGCAAAACACUGAGCUGUGCCCAAAUGUCCUACUGAUAAGCAGAUCAGGUUGUAAGCCUGACUAUUUCUUAACCUUUUGCAGUAAAAAUGCAGGGACUGUAUGGUGUCAGUAUGUCUGGGAUUAAUGAGAGUUUUGGAUACAGGGUUUGGGGAGCAUUCAGGGUUUUGGUUUUAGAUGUUUCAUAGAAAGCCUGAACAAGCACCAUAAGUCAGCUCAGUGCUAAUUAAUGAUUAAUCUGGAUAACACCAAGCUGCUUUCAAUUGAUUUUUAGAGGGGAAACAGCAAGCUGGAAUCUUCAUUUCCAUGACACAUAGGUGUAAAGAGGAGUGACAGAGGCUAGCAGUCUGGACCUGCCACGCUGGGGAGCACAAGACCCUCAGCACACAGGACUGCAGCGGGGGACAUUCUGUCAGGGACAUCCCCAGCCCAGAAAUGGCGACAGGAGAAGGAGAUGGAGAUGGCGAUGAAGAGGAGGUGACAGUGGAGACCAGCUCCCCAAGAGAAGCAGGCUCUCCUCCAAGAGGGAUGGCAGAUGUGUGUGUGGGAAGAAACCUCGACUAGUCCCUGCAGAAGGAAUAAUAAAAUCAUAGAAUCAUUUAAGUUGGAAAAGACCUCUCAGAUCAUCAAGUCCAACCCUUAAGCCAGCACUGCCAGGUCCAUCACUAAACCGUGCCCCCAAGUGCUACAUCUACACAUCUUUUAAAUACCUCCAGGGCUGGCUACUCCACCACUUCCCUGGGCUGCCUGUUCUAAUGCCUGGCUGUCCUUUCAGGAAAGAGAUUUAUCCUAAGGAAAAGAAGCUCAUUUCCAAAGGGACAAGAAGAGCAAGGAUGCUUGUAGCUGUGUAGGGAGCUCUGUCACCUUCUUCACAGAGUGUAGGACUUCCUCAGCUCUUGCCUCUAGUAUCAACAUCUGUUUUCAUGCUUGCAUGUGUCAAUCAGUGUUUAUCAGAAACAGCACACUCACCUCCAGAGUGAGGGGAAGAGAGAUGUCCCAGAAGACAGAUACAUGUCAACAUACUCCUCCUCACAGGUGGUCAAUGCUGCUGCAUGACCAUGGUAUAAGAACCUACACAGAACAGAGUAAAACUUUUCCAACUCUUACAUUAAUGUCAUUUUCUGGAGAAAAAAAAAAUAGUAAUUUUAUAGAGAAAGCUUUAGAAGCACUUAAUAUGUACAUGAACCAAUAGCCAAAUUAUCCUUGUAAACCUUGGUGUACAGUUUUCAAUACAGGGCAAUAAAACCUGGGAAACAGGAGCUCAGUGUCCUUCAGCAAAAACCAAAUAAAACCUUCCUUAGUUACUUUAGAAGGCUGAAUAGCACUGCAUAAAUAUAUUUUCCUCCUUCAAAAGGCAGGUCACAGCAGCCUUAAUUAUCAGAGGGACAGAAUGGAAACAACAUAAAAAUAAAUCCUUUGAAAGUUUGCUCUCAUUACCACAUUUGGCAUAUUUAAGCAUAAACACCAUCUGUGUUUAUCAAGAAACACAGCAAUAGCUGCCUUCCGAUCCCACAGUGACACCAGUGUUUAUGGAGAUUUACAGUAAGGGGCACAUGCAAGGCUUCCACAGAAACUGAGCUUCCCUGAAAGUAUUUGCUCAGUCGCCAGCUGCUCACGUAGAUGGAGGCACUUCUGCCAAGAGAAGGAUCAUCACAGAAGAAAAGCAAAGCCUCAGAUCUCUCGUGGAAGUUUCUUCUGGCAACCCCAAGGAGGCAAAUAGCAGCAAAAGCUACUCACGGCAAAGGAUCAAACAUGAAACACACUUUGUGCUUUUAGUGUUGGAUCUGCCAUGGGAGAGGAGGAGCAUCUGCAACUCCAGGGUCAGCUCCCUGCUCUGCCCCCCUCCCUGGCAGAAUGGGUGCCUGCUGUCCCUCUGCCUUUGCAGCAGGCUGGGAAUGCUGGAGGGGACUCGCCCUGGCAGACCAGCUCCCAGGCAGGGAGGGAGUGGUUUGUGACCUGACCGGGCACUGUGCUCUUGCACCAGUCUCUCUCAUCUAGCUCUGGUGCAACAAGAGAUCCAGGCAAACAAGUGCCAGUGGGAACAAUUCCUCUACAGAUCCUGUGGUAGCUUCCUCUGCCAGCCACCUGUGCCCAUGGAUCUGGACCCUGGGUUAUGUUUAUUUGGGCUCCCCUUGAUCCUACAGCAUCCUUCUGUGCAGAAGCCAUAGCAGGGUGAAAAAACAAGGACAGGAGCUGAAGCAAGACAUGCCCUGCCUAAAGCCAGGAUGCAAUGCUGCCAAGGGGCAAUGAUGGCUUCAUCACAACCUAGACACUGUUGUCUAUCUCAGCACAGGCAUUUGGAAUCCUCCCACCAGGACCAAACUUGGAUGUGGAUACAGGCAGCUGAUCAGCAGCAACCAGCUCCUCUGUGAACGUGAAGCCCUGAGCCAUCCAAAACACAAAGCCACAGGCAAUGACAGGCCUGCCUUCACUGCAGGCUGUGGCACCAGUCUUUGGUUCUCCUUUGCUGACACACAAGAGCUAGGCAGACUGCUCAUACUAAAAUCCCAGCGUGCUUUAGCUUCACCAUGCAAAAGAACUGUGUGAAUAAAUGUCAACUAUUUUUAGAUUAUAGAAGUAAUUGUGUGAAUACAUAACAAGCUCUUUUGCAAUGAAAGAUUAGACGAAAAAUACACGGACAUCCGAAGCACAUCACCUAAAUCUGAACAGCCUGGAACAACAUCUGAUCUCCACUGCUCUAGCAUCAUUUGCCCAAAACCAGUUAAGUAGACUGGUACUAAUACUCUUAGCAUAAUUUGGCUCUUCCUUCUUGUAAAGUUGGCAUUGAGUGGCCUGAUUGUGAUAGAGAUACAUUGAAUGAUGCAAAGGCAAUCCAAUUAAAAUUAAAGCAAAUUACAAAUCCACAGUAUUGAUGUUAAUUUUUGUUCAAUUCCAGCCUGGUGUCUUUGUGAGAAGCAGAACUGUGAAAGUUAGCAAAAACUGUAGACAGCAGUUUCACUGCCUAAACUCUUUCAACAAUAUGUCCAUAGUAUUUAAUCUGAAUUUUCCUUUUCUUAAUUUUCUCUCAUUUACUCUAAUUAUAUUGUCAUUGUCCUUGUCUGAGUAAUUUUUUUCUAUCAACAGUGUUUACUCUCCUCAGAUAUUUACAGACUACUUUUACAUCUGCCCAAACACUGUGUUAUACAUCAGAAAAACCUUAUUCUGCUUUAUGAUUUUACCUUAGAAGUUGAUCACUCUGGUCUUCUCCUGAAAUUAUGGCUUUGCUCUGGAUCCUGUCAUCCCACCAAGACAGUGGUCUCAGCACCCAGUGUAUGCUCCCAGAAGCUCUGAAGGAGCAAAGAAGACCUACAUGUUUAUCUGCAUAUCUAGAGACCAAAAGGAGGCCCAGGAGAAGACGUGCAGGUAAAGAGCAAGGCAAGGACAGUCUCUGGCAGAGCUGACAGUGUAAGAGCUGAGCCAAAGCUGGAGCAACAAACCAAGCCACCACACCACACAGCUGAGUUGCCAAAAGAGAAUCUUCAUUAUUACUCCUUAAAAGGAAACUUUGCCAGUGAAAAAGAAAACACUCCCACGCAAACACAGGCAAUUUAACUGGAUACCUUUUAUGAGAUCUUGCAGCAGUGCAUUCAGGGAGAGGAAACAUAAGAGCCACUUGGAAAGGAACAACAGCACUACAGAGUGAAUGAAGCCUUUGUCACACAGCAGUCCAACAAAAGCAGGAUUCCAUGGCUGUGGCAGAGAAGUAGCAGCCCAGUAGCACUGCAGCCCCACAGUACCUACAAACGAGAACAUAGUGAUGCUUUGCCCACCUCUUCAGGCUCCUUUGGAUGACUCAGAACCGCUGUGUGCAAUUUUGUGACUUAAAAGAUAAAGAGGGAAGGGCAAAGCCCGACCACUUGUUACUGUACUUAAAGCUGUAAUUGUGUGUAAGUACUUGCAAAUAUCAAGGCCAUCUUUGGAGACAAUGAUGUGUAAUGGCUCUUCCAGCUAUAUCCUGUUUGUCCAGUGGAACAUAAUGGCUAAAUCAAUGUAAAGUGUCAUGUAUUUCUUUUUUCUGUUCUCCCUGGGGCUGUUCUUUCCAGUUACGUAUGUUCAGCUUUGAACUCUAGAAAAAUCAAUGAAGAUUUAGUUGUUCUCAAAAAACCCCAAGCUAAAAAUUUAAAGCAUUUUCUGUCAUCUUGGUGUGGAAUAUGUAAUCCCUCUCCCCCUCAAGUACCCUUCAGAGCAUGUGACUCAGCAAGCUUUUGUUAAAUAAGCAGUAGCAUAAAACCAAGUUUUUACUGAAAUGGGUUUUUUUUCCUCGAAUCUCUUUCUUAAACAUAAUCAGUGAAAUUUUAUUAUUAGUGCUGCCAUAAAAGAAACACUACCACUUUGCUGUUCCUGAAAAAUAAAGGCAGUUUUCACUCCCAACAAAAUGAAACUAAAUAAAUUGACUUCUAUAUCCAUGCUUUGACAUUUUCCUUGUGUCAAACCCUGGUUUUCAGUUCACUUCUACACAA